rnacentral:rRNA from 1 species
AUUGAACGCUGGCGGCAGGCCUAACACAUGCAAGUCGAGCGAGCGGCGGACGGGUGAGUAAUGUAUGGGGACUGCCCGCUAGAGGGGGAUAACUACUGGAAACGGUGGCUAAUACCGAAUACUAUCGGAUAACCCAUAUGGGAUUAGCUAGUAGGUGGGGUAAAGGCUCACCGAGGCGACGAUCUCUAGCUGGUCUGGGAGGAUGAGCAGCCACACUGGGACGGGGACACGGCCCAGACUCCUACGGGGGAAGCAGUGGGGAAUUGUGCAAAAUGGGCGCAAGCCUUAUGCAGCCAUGCCGCGUGUAGGAAGAGGGCCUUAGGGUUGUAAAGUACUUUCAGCGGGGAGGCGUUACCUGCAGAAGAAGCACCGGCUAACUCCGUGCCAGCAGCCGCGGUAAUUC